rnacentral:rRNA from 1 species
UACGUAGGUGGCGAGCGUUGUCCGGAUUUACUGGGCGUAAAGAGCGCGCAGGCGGUCGUUCAAGUCGCGUGUGAAAGCCCCCGGCUCAACUGGGGAGGGUCACGCGAUACUGAUCGACUCGAAGGCAGGAGAGGGAAGUGGAAUUCCCGGUGUAGUGGUGAAAUGCGUAGAUAUCGGGAGAACACCAGUGGCGAAGGCGACUUCCUGGCCUGUU